rnacentral:rRNA from 1 species
UACGUAGGGUGCAAGCGUUAAUCGGAAUUACUGGGCGUAAAGUGUGCGCAGGCGGUUCUAUAAGACAGAUGUGAAAUCCCCGGGCUUAACCUGGGAACUGCAUUUGUGACUGCAUGGCUGGAGUGCGGCAGAGGGGGAUGAAAUUCCGCGUGUAGCAGUGAAAUGCGUAGAUAUGCGGAGGAACACCGAUGGCGAAGGCAAUCCCCUGGGCCUGCACUGACGCUCAUGCACGAAAGCGUGGGGAGCAAACAGG